AUUGAACGCUAGCGGGAUGCUUUACACAUGCAAGUCGAACGGCAGCACGAGGAGCUUGCUCCUUGGUGGCGAGUGGCGAACGGGUGAGUAAUAUAUCGGAACAUGCCCAGUAGCGGGGGAUAACUACUCGAAAGAGUGGCUAAUACCGCAUACGUCCUACGGGAGAAAGCAGGGGACCUUCGGGCCUUGCACUAUUGGAGUGGCCGAUAUCGGAUUAGCUAGUUGGUGGGGUAAAGGCCUACCAAGGCGACGAUCCGUAGCUGGUUUGAGAGGACGACCAGCCACACUGGGACUGAGACACGGCCCAGACUCCUACGGGAGGCAGCAGUGGGGAAUUUUGGACAAUGGGGGAAACCCUGAUCCAGCCAUCCCGC
rnacentral:rRNA from 1 species